CCUACGGGAGGCAGCAGUGAGGAAUAUUGGUCAAUGGACGCAAGUCUGAACCAGCCAUGCCGCGUGCAGGAAGACGGCUCUCUGAGUUGUAAACUGCUUUUGUACGGGGGUAAACGCAGAUACGCGUAUCUGUCUGAAAGUAUCGUACGAAUAAGGCUCGACUAACUCCCUGCCAGCAGCCGCGUUAAUACGGCGGAUUCACGCGUUAUCCGGAUGUAUUGGGGUUAAAGGGUGCGUAGGCGGUCUGAUAAGUUAGAGGUGAAAUCCCGAGGCUCAACUUCGGAAUUGCAGCUGAUACUGUUCGGCUAGAGAGUAGUUGCGGUAGGCGGAAUGUAUGGUGGAGCGGGGAAAUGCUUAGAGAUCAUACAGAACACCGAUUGCGAAGGCAGCUUACCAAGCUACUACUGACGUUGAGGCACGAAAGCAUGGGGAGCAAACAGGAUUAGAUACCCCAGUAGUC
rnacentral:rRNA from 1 species